AUUGAACGCUGGCGGCAGGCCUAACACAUGCAAGUCGAACGAGUGGCGGACGGGUGAGUAAUGUCUGGGAAACUGCCUGAUGGAGGGGGAUAACUACUGGAAACGGUAGUUAAUACCGCAUACCAUCGGAUGUGCCCAGAUGGGAUUAGCUAGUAGGUGGUGUAAAGGCUCACCUAGGCGACGAUCCGUAACUGGUCUGAGAGGAUGAUCAGUCACACUGGAACUGAGACACGGUCCAGACGCCUACGGGAGGCAGCAGUGGGGAAUAUUGGACAAUGGGCGAAAGCCGGAUCCAGCCAUGCCGCGUGUGUGAAGAAGGUCUUCGGAUUGUAAAGCACUUUAAGUUGGGAGGCGUUACCAACAGAAUAAGCACCGGCUAACGUCGUGCCAGCCGCCGCGGUAAUAC
rnacentral:rRNA from 1 species